rnacentral:rRNA from 1 species
UACGUAGGGACCAAGCGUUGUUUGGAUUUACUGGGCGUAAAGGGCGCGUAGGCGGCGCGGUAAGUCACUUGUGAAAUCUCUGAGCUUAACUCAGAACGGCCAAGUGAUACUGCAGUGCUAGAGUGUGGAAGGGGCAAUCGGAAUUCUUGGUGUAGCGGUGAAAUGCGUAGAUAUCAAGAGGAACACCUGAGGUGAAGACGGGUUGCUGGGCCAACACUGACGCUGAGGCGCGAAAGCCAGGGGAGCAAACGGG